CAAUGGGCGCACUUGUUUCAUUAGCCGGGUCAAGCCGGAUGAUACUUCCGGAAGCGGAUGGAUGUUGAAACACGAUUAAAUCGUUGGAGGUGCUAUAUCUGUCAACAAAGAGCUCCAGUCCACUCCUUAGCUUCAUUGGAAUCGCAAGAAAUCUCGAAAGCAACAGAAAUUUAUAUAGACGGAGAUUAUAGGGUCUACCUGCGUUGUCCUUUGUGUAGCUCUUGUUUCCAUGCAAAUUGUGCUGAGUACGAAAUAGAACUUUUC